rnacentral:rRNA from 1 species
AUACGGAGGGUGCAAGCGUUAUCCGGAAUCAUUGGGUUUAAAGGGUCCGCAGGCGGAUUAAUAAGUCAGUGGUUAAAUCCUCUCGCUCAACGAGAGAACUGCCAUUGAAACUGUUAGUCUUGAAUUCGGUCGAAGUAGGCGGAAUGUGUCAUGUAGCGGUGAAAUGCAUAGAUAUGACACAGAACACCGAUAGCGAAGGCAGCUUACUAGACCUGGAUUGACGCUCAUGGACGAAAGCGAGGGGAGCGAACAGGAUUAGAAACCCUAGUAGUCC